rnacentral:rRNA from 1 species
UCGGAAAAGAAAACAACAGGGAUUGCCUUAGUAACGGCGAGUGAAGCGGCAAAAGCUCAAAUUUGAAAUCUAGCACUUUCAGUGUUCGAGUUGUAAUUUGAAGAAAGUUUCUCUGAGUAGUCCUUUAUCUAUGUUCCUUGGAACAGGACGUCAUAGAGGGUGAGAACCCCGUAUGAUUUUGGAUCCUACUCUCUGUGAGAUUCUUUCGAAGAGUCGAGUUGUUUGGGAAUGCAGCUCUAAGUGGGUGGUAAAUUCCAUCUAAAGCUAAAUAUUGGCGAGAGACCGAUAGCGAACAAGUACAGUGAUGGAAAGAUGAAAAGAACUCUGAAGAGAGAGUGAAAAAGUACGUGAAAUUGCUGAAAGGGAAGGGCUUGAGGUCAGACUUGGUGUUUAAUGAUUAUCUUCUCUUCUUGAGGAGUGCACUCGUUUUUCACCGGGCCAAUAUCAGUUUUUGGGGUAGAGCACCUCUUGGAAUGUAGCUUCCUUCGGGGAGUGUUAUAGCCUUGAGACGAUCUAUUUCCAGAGACUGAGGACUGCGCAUUAUUGCAAGGAUAUUGGCGUAAUGACCUUAGC